rnacentral:rRNA from 1 species
GUGGGCGCUGGAGAAUUGAGGGGGGCUGCUCCUAGUACGAGAGGACCGGAGUGGACGCAUCACUGGUGUUCGGGUUGUCAUGCCAAUGGCACUGCCCGGUAGCUAAAUGCGGAAGAGAUAAGUGCUGAAAGCAUCUAAGCACGAAACUUGCCCCGAGAUGAGUUCUCCCUGAGACUUUAAGUCUCCUGAAGGAACGUUGAAGACGACGACGUUGAUAGGCCGGGUGUGUAAGCGCAGCGAUGCGUUGAGCUAACCGGUACUAAUGAACCGUGAGGCUUAACCUUACAACGCCGAAGCUGUU